rnacentral:rRNA from 1 species
GACGAACGCUGGCGGCUUGCUUAACACAUGCAAGUCGAACGAUGCCUCUGGAGCUUGCUCCGGUGGAUUUGUUGCGAACGGGUGAGUAACACGUGAGCAACCUGCCCUUGACUCUGGGAUAACUGCGGGAAACUGUAGCUAAUACCGGAUACGACACCUUCGGGCAUCCGAUGGGUGUGGAAAGAAUUUCGGUCAAGGAUGAGCUCGCGGCCCAUCAGCUAGUUGGUGAGGUAACGGCUCACCAAGGCGACGACGGGUAGACGGCCUGAGAGGGUCGCCGGCAACACUGGGACUGGGACACGGCGCAGACUCCCACGGGAGGCAGGAGUGGGGAAUAUUGCACCUUGGGCGCAAGCCUGAUUCAGUAACGCCGCGUGAGGGACGAAGGGCUUCGGGUUGUAAACCUCUUUUAGCAGGGAAGAAGAGAACGUGACGGUACCUGCAGAAAAAGCACCGGCUAACUACGUGCCAGCCGCCGCCGUAAUAC